ACUCCUACGGGAGGCAGCAGUGGGGAAUAUUGCACAAUGGGGAAACCCUGAUGCAGCCAUGCCGCGUGUGUGAAGAAGGCCUUCGGUUGUAAAGCACUUCAGUAGGGAGGAAGGUAGUGUAGUUAACACCUGCAUUAUUUGACGUUACCUACAGAAGAAGCACCGGCUAACUCCGUGCCAGCAGCCGCGGUAAUACGGAGGGGUGCGAGCGUUAAUCGGAAUUACUGGGCGUAAAGCGCAUGCAGGCGGCCUGUUAAGUCAGAUGUGAAAGCCCGGGGGCUUAACCUCGGAAUUGCAUUUGAAACUGGCAGGCUAGAGUCUUGUAGAGGGGGUAGAAUUUCAGGUGUAGCGGUGAAAUGCGUAGAGAUCUGAAGGAAUACCAGUGGCGAAGGCGGCCCCCUGGACAAAGACUGACGCUCAGAUGCGAAAGCGU
rnacentral:rRNA from 1 species